rnacentral:rRNA from 1 species
UACGUAGGGUGCGAGCGUUGUCCGGAAUUACUGGGCGUAAAGCGCUCGUAGGUGGUUUGUCGCGUUGUCCGUGAAAACUCACAACUCAAUUGUGGGCGUGCGGGCGAUACGGGCAGACUGGAGUACUGCAGGGGAGACUGGAAUUCCUGGUGUAGCGGUGGAAUGCGCAGAUAUCAGGAGGAACACCGGUGGCGAAGGCGGGGCUCUGGGCAGUAACUGACGCUGAGGAGCGAAAGCGUGGGGAGCGAACAGG